GCCCCUGUGGCCAAGUCGGUUAAGGCAUAGUGCUUAUAUCUUAAGGGUAUACCAGAGUCACGCUAAGAUCGCGAGUUCGAUCCUCGCCAGGGGCA